AUAGCUUGCUGUCGAACAGCCCAACCACGAAUGAGAGCCUGAAGCUUGACGACUCCUUUCAGUGCUCUUAGUGCUUUCCUUGCCUGAAACCCCAAGAUGACAGCAAGUUAUACUCUUACAAAGCAUAAUGAAUUUCUCACUUGAACUUUGAUAGCAGCCGAAGCUUCUGACUCUCUGUUGCGUUGAUGAGGGAGUUUCAGAAUACCGGCAUGACUGUAGCUUUCAGAAGAUUCUGGACUCUCCUUGUGUUGAUGGGCUGUUUCCCCAUUUCCGGGGAUCUGCCGAAGCUCAGGAGUGUCUGUUGUAACGGUUACUGGAAGAGAAGUAGUAUUAUUAUGUUCUGUGAGUUGCCAUGGCAGCCUUUCUCUCGGAGAGGAUGGCACGAGCUCUUUCACCUUAAGCAAUCGGCAUACCCAUCUCCUUCGCUUAUCCUUCUUGCAGCGUACGAGAGAUUUAAAUCACUUCAGAUUCGAGUCCUCGCGAAUAAUAUAUGGUAAUACGGAUAGAUGUCGGGAUAGAAGAUGUAACGCGUUUGGUGAUUACGAGUCUUGAUUCAGAAGCCAUAUCAAGUAAAGUGGCCCUUUUGCCCCAACAUGAAAUGAAGAAGGGAGAUGAAGAAAAGGAGGAAAAACCAUCAAAGUCUCAAGUGAAAAAUACAUUAUUGGAGGAGGUGGGGAAAACCCUAAUGUGCAAUGAAUGGGUAAAGAAAGCAAGAAGUCUUUGAAGGAGAGACAGCUGUUGAGGGCCCUAUAAAUAUCAGUAUAAGCUAAUUACAUGAAGUUGAGAUUAAUAUAAAUAUUCAAAUUUUGUUUGCUUUCAAAAUAAUUCAGUCCUCACAUGUAAUGACAUAGUGGAAUGAGUGAGUUAGCACCACAUUGGAUGCCCAACUUCUCUGUGGUAAAAUUUCAUACAUAUGCAUUUAUUCUAGACCUCAAUCUUUAUAAUGGUAGGAAAUUAAUUUUUAUUGAAAUUAAAUGUAUAAAGUGGAGAGCAGAAUGUGACAGAUUGAGACUUGAGUCCAAGGGGACACUCUUGUGUGUGAGCAUGUUCCACUCCUUCAGUUUUUC